UCUGUUGCAUUCCGGCACAAUUAUCUUGCACCUCAUAUUGAGCGCUUUGGAUAUUCAUCAUUACAUUGGAAAGGUAAGGAACGUGAGUAUUGGGAAAAUAUCAUGUUUCUCAAACUCAUUGAUUUUUCGAGCAAUAGAUUGACCGGAAACAUUCCCAAAUCAUUUUCCACUAUGAGAGGAUUGAUAUCCUUGAAUUUGUCAAGAAAUAGUUUGACCGGGCAUAUAAUUCCAGAUAUUGGUAAUAUGCAUAUGCUAGAUUCUCUUGAUCUAUCUCAUAACCAACUCUUGGGCAAGAUACCUACAAGUUUGGCAGAAAUACACACUCUUGGUUUUCUUGAUCUGUCGAACAACAAUUUGUCCGGAAAAAUCCCAACGGGUACUCAACUGCAGAGCUUCAAUGCAUCAUCUUAUGCUGAUAAUGAUGGACUAUGUGGCGACCCUCUGCCAAACUGCCCCACCAAUAAUCCAUGGGACAACAUGAAUGAGAAAGAUGGCAACAACUUCUCAUUUAUGGAAGAAGUUGGCAUAUCAAUGGGCUUUGGUUUUAUCUUUGGAUUUUGGGGAGUCAUUGGUUCAUUCAUACUGAAGAAGUCAUGGAGAAUUGCAUUCUUCAACUUCUUUGAUGCUGCUGGAGAUUGGUUCUACGUUAGGAUUGUUGUGUUCGUAUCCAAAUGGAAAUGGAGAUGAAGAUGAAAUGCAGCGGUGAAAGUUGAAACUGCACGCAUUGGUGUUUAAUUAAAGUGAACGACGCUCAGGACCAGUGAUCUUUCCAAGUUAAUGUAGUAAUUUUGUUGUUUUUAUCAUCUCUUUUUGUGUGAAUUGUGUCAAUCUUAUUUCACCUUAUUUAGUUAUUUUUCCUUUGGUUUGUAUUUGUUUUCUUCUAUAAAUGAAUGUUUGUGUUUUUAUAA